rnacentral:rRNA from 1 species
AGAGUUUGAUCCUGGCUCAGGAUGAACGCUGGCGGUAUGCUUAACACAUGCAAGUCGAACGGAAUCCUUAGGGAUUUAGUGGCGGACGGGUGAGUAACGCGUGAGAAUCUGCCUUCAGGUUCGGGACAACCACUGGAAACGGUGGCUAAUACCGAAUGUGCAGCAAUGUGAAAAAUUUAUUGCCUGGAGAUGAGCUCGCGUCUGAUUAGCUAGUAGGUGUGGUAAGAGCGCACCUAGGCGACGAUCAGUAGCUGGUCUGAGAGGAUGAUCAGCCACACUGGGACUGAGACACGGCCCAGACUCCUACGGGAGGCAGCAGUGGGGAAUUUUCCGCAAUGGGCGAAAGCCUGACGGAGCAAUACCGCGUGAGGGAGGAAGGCUCUUGGGUUGUAAACCUCUUUUCCCAGGGAAGAAUAAAUGACGGUACCUGAGGAAUAAGCAUCGGCUAACUCCGUGCCAGCAGCCGCGGUAAUACGGAGGAUGCAAGCGUUAUCCGGAAUGAUUGGGCGUAAAGCGUCCGCAGGUGGCUAUGUAAGUCUGCUGUUAAAGAGUCUGGCUCAACCAGAUAAAGGCAGUGGAAACUACAUGGCUAGAGUGCGUUCGGGGCAGAGGGAAUUCCUGGUGUAGCGGUGAAAUGCGUAGAGAUCAGGAAGAACACCGGUGGCGAAAGCGCUCUGCUAGGCCGCAACUGACACUGAGGGACGAAAGCUAGGGGAGCGAAUGGGAUUAGAUACCCCAGUAGUCCUAGCCGUAAACGAUGGAUACUAGGCGUGGCUUGUAUCGACCCGAGCCGUGCCGUAGCUAACGCGUUAAGUAUCCCGCCUGGGGAGUACGCAGGCAACUGUGAAACUCAAAGGAAUUGACGGGGGCCCGCACAAGCGGUGGAGUAUGUGGUUUAAUUCGAUGCAACGCGAAGAACCUUACCAGGACUUGACAUGUCGCGAAUCUUUGUGAAAGCAGAGAGUGCCUUCGGGAGCGCGAACACAGGUGGUGCAUGGCUGUCGUCAGCUCGUGUCGUGAGAUGUUGGGUUAAGUCCCGCAACGAGCGCAACCCUCGUUUUUAGUUGCCAGCAUUAAGUUGGGCACUCUAGAGAGACUGCCGGUGACAAACCGGAGGGAGGUGGGGAUGACGUCAAGUCAGCAUGCCCCUUACGUUCUGGGCUACACACGUACUACAAUGCUACGGACAAAGGGCAGCAAGCAUGCGAAUGCAAGCUAAUCUCAUAAACCGUGGCUCAGUUCAGAUCGCAGGCUGCAACUCGCCUGCGUGAAGGAGGAAUCGCUAGUAAUUGCAGGUCAGCAUACUGCAGUGAAUUCGUUCCCGGGCCUUGUACACACCGCCCGUCACACCAUGGAAGCUGGUAGUGCCCGAAGCCAUUACCCCAACCGCUUGCGGAGGGGGAUGCCUAAGGCAGGACUGGUGACUGGGGUGAAGUCGUAACAAGGUAGCCGUACCGGAAGGUGUGGCUGGAUCACCUCCU